rnacentral:rRNA from 1 species
UACGGAGGGAGCUAGCGUUGCUCGGAAUUAUUGGGCGUAAAGCGCACGUAGGCGGUCCUCUAAGUCGGGUGUGAAAGCCCGGGGCUUAACCCCGGAAGUGCACUCGAAACUGGAGGGCUUGAGUAUAGAAGAGGGUCUCGGAAUUCCCGGUGUAGAGGUGAAAUUCGUAGAUAUCGGGAGGAACACCAGUGGCGAAGGCGGAGACCUGGGCCAAUACUGACGCUGAGGUGCGAAAGCGUGGGGAGCAAACAGG